UUCGGUCCCGGAAGGGAUUCGGAACGAAGCUUCGCCGCUUCCCGAACUCAGAAGUGAAACGACGCAUCGCCGAUGGUAGUGUGGGGUCUCCCCAUGUGAGAGUAGGUCAUCGUCAAGC
rnacentral:rRNA from 1 species